rnacentral:rRNA from 1 species
CCUACGGGCGGCAGCAGUGGGGAAUCUUGCACAAUGGGGGAAACCCUGAUGCAGCGACGCCGCGUGGGCGAAGAAGUAUUUCGGUAUGUAAAGCCCUAUCAGCAGGGAAGAAGAAAUGACGGUACCUGAGUAAGAAGCACCGGCUAAAUACGUGCCAGCAGCCGCGGUAAUACGUAUGGUGCAAGCAUUAUCCGGAUUUACUGGGUGUAAGGGGAGCGCAGGCGGCACGGCAAGCCCGAUGUGAAAGCCCGCGGCCCAACCGCGGGACUGCAUUGGGAACUACCGGGCUGGAGUGCCGGAGAGGUAGGCGGAAUUCCCAGUGUAGCGGUGAAAUGCGUAGAUAUUAGGAGGAACACCAGUGGCGAAGGCGG